GCCGGUUUAGCUCAGCAGGUAGAGCAACUGAUUUGUAAUCAGUGGGUCGGGGGUUCAAAUCCUCCAACCGGCACCA
rnacentral:tRNA from 1 species